UACGAGGGGGGCAAGCGUUGUUCGGAAUUAUUGGGCGUAAAGGGUGCGUAGGCGGUCUGAUAAGUCAUCUGUGAAAUCUAUGGGCUCAACCCAUAGUCUGCAGGCGAAACUGUCGGGCUUGAGUAUGGGAGAGGUGAGUGGAAUUUCCGGUGUAGCGGUGAAAUGCGUAGAUAUCGGAAGGAACACCUGUGGCGAAAGCGGCUCACUGGACCGUAACUGACGCUGAGGCGCGAAAGCGUGGGGAGCAAACAGG
rnacentral:rRNA from 1 species